CUCUAUGCGUCAGAGUUUGAUCCUGGCUCAGGAUGAACGCUGACAGAAUGCUUAACACAUGCAAGUCGACUCGAGUCUUCGGACUUGGGUGGCGCACGGGUGAGUAACGCGUGGGCAACCUGCCUUUCACAGAGGGAUAGCCAAAGGAAACUUUGAUUAAAACCUCAUAAUGCUAAUUUACUGCAUAAUAGAUUAGCCAAAGAUUUAUCGGUGAAAGAUGGGCCCGCGUCUGAUUAGCUAGUUGGUGAGGUAACGGCUCACCAAGGCAACGAUCAGUAGCCGACCUGAGAGGGUGAUCGGCCACAUUGGAACCGAGACACGGUCCAA
rnacentral:rRNA from 1 species